GAUCAUGGCUCAGGAUAAACGCUGGCGGCGCACAUAAGACAUGCAAGUCGAACGGACCUAACCAUUAGUUUACUAUUGGAGCGGUUAGUGGCGGACUGGUGAGUAACACGUAAGCAACCUGCCUAUCAGAGGGGAACAACAGUUAGAAAUGACUGCUAAUACCGCAUAUGCCUUAGAAUCACAUGGUUCAAAAGGGAAAGGAGCAAUCCGCUGAUAGAUGGGCUUGCGU
rnacentral:rRNA from 1 species